CACACACCGUCCGACAACAGACACUAGGUAGAUUUCGAGUCUCUUUAAACAGGGAUGGAUCUUCCCCAGUUCUACAUAUGGGUACCCAGGGGCCAGGUACCAAAGAGCUAUCCUGAGAACCACUAAUCCAGCUAUCCUCAACUCCAUACAAAUAUGAGACCAAACCAAACAGAAAGCCCUGAGUGCCCCCUUGUCCCCAAUGACACUAGUAUUUAGGAACAGA